CCUACGUGAGGCAGCAGUGGGGAAUAUUGGACAAUGGGCGAAAGCCUGAUCCAGCCAUGCCGCGUGUGUGAAGAAGGCCUUCGGGUUGUAAAGCACUUUCAGUGGGGAAGAAAGCCUUGGGGCUAAUACCCUCGAGGAAGGACAUCACCCACAGAAGAAGCACCGGCUAACUCCGUGCCAGCAGCCGCGGUAAUACGGAGGGUGCGAGCGUUAAUCGGAAUUACUGGGCGUAAAGCGCGCGUAGGCGGUCUGAUAAGCCGGUUGUGAAAGCCCCGGGCUCAACCUGGGAACGGCAUCCGGAACUGUCAGGCUAGAGUGCAGGAGAGGAAGGUAGAAUUCCCGGUGUAGCGGUGAAAUGCGUAGAGAUCGGGAGGAAUACCAGUGGCGAAGGCGGCCUUCUGGACUGACACUGACGCUGAGGUGCGAAAGCGUGGGUAGCAAACAGGAUUAGAUACCCCUGUAGUC
rnacentral:rRNA from 1 species